UCGGAGGUUAAGUAUGGCUAGCUCGUUCGUAAGAACCUUAUAGCGUUCCGAUUUCUCAGCAUACGCACGAAUCGGGUGUAUAAUUUUCGUACUCUGAAAAUAUAACAUCGCAGUGUAUUGUUCAUGCAUUCGAAGAAUUAUGUGGAGAAGAAGAAAAACGGAUUGCACGGAGAGAAUUACGGAUGAAACGUUUCGCUGGGAAAUAAGUAGGGAUCGAUCGACUAUAUUCGAUCGGAGUGCAGUCACGCAUCGGUUCGUUGCGAUACAAACAGGAGAGAAAUAAAUGAUCGAACGGAAUUAUGUCUUCAUCAGUCUUUCGUCUUUACUCGCAUUUAAGUAUGCAGCUACAGUAUGUAAUUUCAAGUUGGCUUGCGUUGAAGAUGAAUCUUGUGAUGAACAAUGUUGCUGAUUUAGUUAUCGUGUAUAGAUAUCCUGUUUAUGUGCUGUCAAUCGGAAGGAAACGAUAUAAGGUAUUACUAUAAUGAUAUUACGUGACGUUGAGCUGUUACGAAUGAAUGCUAUUACCUUGUUACUCUAUGUUUUAUUGCGUGGUUAUUAUUGACUGAUCGAUGUGUUAUAUUAGGAUCCGGUGUUUACUUGAAAGUAAAAGUUAUAGACGAUGUACUUGGGAACGCUGGAUACAGUAGAAAUUUUUUUAGGAAAAAGACGGAAGUGUCUGGAAGAAAAUGUUGCCUGCUAAACAGGUUCCAGCGUUUAGUUUUCUAUAAGAUGUUCUGAAGAUCUUAGAUCAAAGGUGGCUAGAAUCUUUUGGCGCAUCGUGUAAGAUUAUAGCGCUAUUCAAUGGUAGACUUAGAACGAGGCUAAAAAGAAAAAUAUUCAUUGCGAUCACGAUAUCCAUUGACCGAGAAAAAGAAAAUUGCAAGGGUGAGGCUAACGUUACAUCUAGCCUACUAAUAAAUUUUUAUUACUUUUAUUAGUGCUUUUAAACACUUUUUUCCCUCACUUUAAGUACAUAUUAUCACAUAUGUUAUAUACUAUGGAUAAGAAACUUGUAUAAAUAUAGCGAACAGAGUUCACGAUAUAUAAGUAUACACGUUAUAAAUAUUAGUUUGAGAAGAUUAUUACGUUGUCGAAUACAAUUAUUUCAUCUGCAACGUACCAUUUUGCACAAUACAAUUUUAACACUUUAUACAACAUUUGAAUAUAUUUUACGAGAUU
rnacentral:misc_RNA from 1 species